AACGAACGCUGGCGGCAGGCCUAACACAUGCAAGUCGAGCGCGCCCUUCGGGGUGAGCGGCGGACGGGUGAGUAACGCGUGGGAACGUUCCCUUCUCUGCGGAAUAGCCUCGGGAAACGGAGAGUAAUACCGCAUACGCCCUUUGGGGGAAAGAUUUAUCGGAGAAGUUUCGGCCCUAGUGGGAUUAGGUAGUUGGUGGGGUUAUAGCACACCAAGCGGACGAUCCAUAGCUGGUUUGAGAGGAUGAUCAGCCACACUGAGACUGAGACACGGCCCAGACUCCUACGCGAGGCAGGAGUGGGGAAUCUUAGAAAAUGGGGGGAACCAUGAUCUAGCCAUGCCGCGUGAGUGAUGAAGGCCUUAGGGUUGUAAAGCUCUUUCAGCUGGGAAGAUAAUGACGGUACCAGCAGAAGAAGCCCCGGCUAACUCCGUG
rnacentral:rRNA from 1 species